rnacentral:piRNA from 1 species
UGGCGAAUUACAGGAAGAUGGCAGUUUC